rnacentral:rRNA from 1 species
UGAACGCUGGCGGCGUGCUUAACACAUGCAAGUCGAACGAGAACGGAAUAAAGCUUGCUUUAUUUGUCAGCUAAGUGGCGCACGGGUGAGUAAUAUAUAGGUAACGUGCCUUCAAGAAGGGGAUAACAUUUGGAAACGAAUGCUAAGACCCUAUAUGCCUUUAUCCCAAAAGGGAGCAAGGGAAAUAUUUAUAGCUUGAAGAUCGGCCUGUACGGUAUCAGCUAGUUGGUGAGGUAAUGGCUCACCAAGGCAAUGACACCUAACUGGUUUGAGAGGAUGAUCAGUCACACUGGAACUGAGACACGGUCCAGACUCCUACGGGAGGCAGCAGUGGGGAAUAUUGCACAAUGGACGAAAGUCUGAUGCAGCAACGCCGCGUGGAGGAUGACACAUUUCGGUGCGUAAACUCCUUUUAUAUAGGAAGAUAAUGACGGUACUAUAUGAAUAAGCACCGGCUAACUCC